rnacentral:lncRNA from 1 species
GAAAACCACAAAUUCAAAUCAGUGAAGGGAGGGUCACAGAAAAAGGAGAAAGAAACAUUUUUAAAAUCCCCAUGAUAUUAUGUAUUGGGCCUCUUUUUCCACACAAAAGCACCGCCUUUGCUCAUCUGCAGCCUCCCGAGGACUGUGUGGAAGGUGAUAAUGAGAACGGGCUUCAGCAACCAUCCUCCCCGGCAGCAUCGGGGCGCCCCACGUGACCCAUGGGAUGAUGCUAUCACAGGUGACCGCUGCUCCUCAGGCACACCGCACACCUAGCGACCUACCGAAAAUACUGGGAGUUAACCAAGCCCACCCUCCAACCCUUGCUACGCAACCACAACGGCCAUCACUCCACCGCUGGAUCAAAUCCCGACUUGUCUUUCCCCAUCAAGAGUUCCGCCUCCUCUACCGGGCUCAUCACAGUGCCUGGCGUCCGGCGACUGCUGUUCUUUUAGUGAUUAUAUCAUCAUAUCCUACAGUCAACAUUUCUCACUAUUUAAUAGUCUCCGGAAUUAGAUUUUUGAUGAACAGAUUUACACCGUGAAUGAGGUCCAAAGAGGGAAGCCAGGGGCACAGCCCACAAAGUAUGAAAGGUCUUCAUAGCAACAGGAGAGUGAGAAUGAAAAAUCAUUAAUAAAAAGAUAAAGAUAAAAGGUCA